rnacentral:rRNA from 1 species
UAAUNCAUGCAAGUCGAACGGGAUCCAGAUCAAAGCUUGCUUUGGUUUGGUGAGAGUGGCGCACGGGUGCGUAACGCGUGAGCAACCUACCCUUGUCAGGGGGAUAGCCCGGCGAAAGUCGGAUUAAUACCGCAUGACAUCAUUGAGAGGCAUCUUUCUAUGAUCAAAGAUUUAUCGGACAAGGAUGGGCUCGCGUGACAUUAGCUAGUUGGUAAGGUAACGGCUUACCAAGGCUACGAUGUCUAGGGGCUCUGAGAGGAGAAUCCCCCACACUGGUACUGAGACACGGACCAGACUCCUACGGGAGGCAGCAGUAAGGAAUAUUGGUCAAUGGACGGAAGUCUGAACCAGCCAUGCCGCGUGCAGGAUGACGGCCCUAUGGGUUGUAAACUGCUUUUAUACGGGAACAAACGUCGGUACGUGUACCGGUCUGAGUGUACCGUAAGAAUAAGGAUCGGCUAACUCCGUGCCAGCAGCCGCGGUAAUACGGAGGAUCCNAGCGUUAUCCGGAAUUAUUGGGUUUAAAGGGUGCGUAGGCGGCCANAUNAGUCAGGGGUGAAAGUCGGCAGCUCAACUGUCGCANUGCCUUUGAUACUGUUUGGCUUGAAUUCGGUUGAAGAUGGNCGNAAUGAA